CUUGGAAGAACUUCAAGGUCAAUAGAACUGAAGGGUCCCAGAGGGAAGGCAGCAUUCCCCACAAGGCCAAUAGGAAGAGCGGGGGCCAUCCUGGAUAUGCAUGCUCAACCACCAGGUGGGGAGUGAGAGAGAGAAGAACUUCUGUGGUAAAACCUUUACAGGGGUCCAAGAGCAUUCAUUUCUUCUGGAGGAUGCAGCAAGAAGGCAUCAUCUUGGAAGCAGAGAAUAGCCCUCAUCAGACACCAAACUUGCUGGAGCCUUGAUCUUGGACUUUACAUUCUCCAGAACAGUGAGCAAUAAAUUUUUAGUGUUUAUAAACUACCCAGUCUCAGGCAUUUUGUUAUAGCAGCUCAGACUAAGACAGACUAAGACAAUAUACAAUGCCUUAGUUUAAUACUUUAAUACUUUCAUGAAUAACAAUAGUAAAUAAAUGAAUACAAUUAUUUAAAUUAUGAGAUUGUUCAUUGUCUCAUUGUCUAGUCCUUACCUGUAUCUGUCUCUCUCCACAUUCUGAAAUCGACCUUGUGAUUUUUGCAUAAUUGUGUUAUACAUAACUGUAUACCCAGAUGUCCCUCAAUUUCAUAUAUAUGUUUACAAAAUAGACAUUUUAUCUUGCUCUUCUCUUUCCUUUUUAUUUGAUACUUUUCUUAUCUAUUAUUGGUUUAGCUAUUCCUAGUGGCCUAAAGAUGUAAUUUUAUUGCAAACAUCUGAACAACUCAAUAUAUUCUUCACACUCCCUGCUUACUUUAAAGCUUUAGUAUUUACACAGUUGGGGAUAUAUCUAUAUAGAAAUACUUAUCAGUGAAGUAAACCUUUUUUCCCUGAUGUUUCAUCUUAAUGGUAAAAUCAUCCUCCUGUUGCCAUUACACUCUUCAACUUAUGUAUAAGAAUUCUGUUAACUCUAAGCAGCAUGUUUAAAGUAGGUUAGUUCAAAGUUGUGAGAUGGUUGCACAUUUUCAGUAGGUCUAAAAAUUAAGUUCCACAUUGAAUUGUUUUAAAGCACUAUGGCAAACAUUAAAGUGUUUAAUUCAUUAUUGAAACACUUUCAUUACAGCAACAACAGUUUAACAUCCUGCAGUGGUAAUUCUAAAUGAAAAAUUAAGUAUAUAUUUGUGUUAGCUUAGGUGGUUUAUAUAUUCGAUGAUACAGUCUUGUUAUACAGGAUAUUGCUCUUCAGAGAGAGAGGCAUAUGCUUUCAAGUGAUUCAUUUAAAUGCAUCAAAUCAAUACAGAAUAUUUUUAGACUAAUUUUGUUUAAUUGAUUGAAGAUUUUUCAGAACUUUUUUUCCCAGGGAACUUUAGUACAACUAUGUCAGCACGAAUCAUGAAAAGAAUGCAUGAAUACAGUAAAGAGUUCCUAUUCAUUUUAAUUUUGAAAGAUCUAAACUUCAGGGGAAAAAUCCUUAAAACUACAAUAAAUAAUCAAGUAAAUGUAGGUAUACCAAUAAUACUGGAAAUGAAAUAGUAUUCCCCUUUUUGUUUUGU
rnacentral:lncRNA from 1 species